UAAAGCCUGCGUUAGGGAUAGCAGUGGAAAGCCUAUAAAGAAAAGCCUUUAAAAAUAAAGCCUAGCCAAGCGACUAAGAGAAGCUCUGGGUAGGUUUAUAUUUUUUUAGGUUUUACUGAAAUAGCUUGGAACAUAUAGCCCGACCUUCC
rnacentral:ncRNA from 1 species